UCCGAACCCAAAACGUCAAAAAAAAUGAGAUACUACAGUGUGUCUGGAUGAAUUUACCUAGAGGUGGGGAGGGGGAGUGAGCAGUGGAAACAGUGGGGGGCCAAUAGUAGCCCCCCUGGCCCCCCUCCCAGCAGUUCCGCCUCCAAUGAGGUAAACAGAGGGUGCACUGGCAAGCAUGGUCAGGACACGCACAUAUCUGUGCCUUCAGUUGGGCCUUCAGAGGGAGAUGAGGGGACAGAAGAGAAUAGUCAGAGCUGGGAGCACAACAUGAAGGUUAGUAAGACUGAUGCGAGUCUCUGCAGGCCACGCAAGAAGAGUGGAAGAACGAGGUCUUCGGACUUCAGCUAGAGCUUAAAGAGAUGACAGAAGAGAUGAACAGUCCGAGCUGUGAGCGCAACACGCAAGGACGAGGACAAGAAUGAGGUGCAGGGACUGCAGUAAUCAUCUCAUUGGAAAGGACAUCUGUACUUUUUCUCGAGAAUAAUACCUUUGUAAAAUAUUUGUUGGUACAUGUACAUAUACAUGUAAUUGGGCUGUUCCUUAUUUUCAUAUUUUUGGGUAUUUUUAAUCUAUCAUGUCGUGCAAUAUGUAUACCAGCAUUACAUUCACUGCGUGGACUUCCGAACAAAAGAUGUCCACAUAAACCAGUUUUAGCAAAGUGAGUUUUGUUCACAGUUUUUUCUUAAUUACAUGAAAACAAAGGAAUGUCCAGACAAGGUAUGUAAAACAAACGUGUGUGUGUGUGUUUGUGUUUUGUCUGGUCUGGGUUUGUCGAAUUAUAGUUGGUCCUUUAUUAUGUCUUCAACUGUUACAAUCUAUAUUCUCUUUGUAUGCAUGGUAACUACCCAUUUCUGUACAUGUUCUAUCUGUACUUUUUCUGAAUAAUAAUUGUUUGAAUAUUUGUUGGUACAUAUAA